AGCUGUGAGAGCAAUUUGGCUGAGACAUCUGUGGCCCCUUUGUUCAUCAGUGUUGAGUCUACAGAUCUGAUUGGUGAGGCAGAUGUGCCCCUUCUUCCCUCACUGCUCCCCAGACACCCCUCCCCCCAAAGCUGUACACAUGGAAGUAAUGACAAAUAAACAGGAAGGGAAGCCAUGGUCUUGGGUAAGCUUGGGUAAGAGGAGAGGAGGGGCUUGGGACCAAGUAUCAGAGAAUUUCAACAUUAAAUGGCUAAGUAGUAGGGAGCGAUCUUG
ensembl:misc_RNA 7SK 7SK RNA